rnacentral:rRNA from 1 species
GAGUUUGAUCCUGGCUCAGAAUGAACGCUGGCGGCAUGCCUAACACAUGCAAGUCGAACGAAGGCUUCGGCCUUAGUGGCGCACGGGUGCGUAACGCGUUGGGAAUCUUGCCCUCAGGUUCGGAAUAACAGCGAGAAAUUGCUGCUAAUACCGGAUGAUAUCGCGAGAUCAAAGAUUUAUCGCCUGAGGAUGAGCCCGCGUAGGAUUAGCUAGUUGGUGUGGUAAAGGCGCACCAAGGCGACGAUCCUUAGCUGGUCUGAGAGGAUGAUCAGCCACACUGGGACUGAGACACGGCCCAGACUCCUACGGGAGGCAGCAGUGGGAAUAUUGGACAAUGGGCGAAAGCCUGAUCCAGCAAUGCCGCGUGAGUGAUGAAGGCCUUAGGGUUGUAAAGCUCUUUUACCCGGGAUGAUAAUGACAGUACCGGGAGAAUAAGCUCCGGCUAACUCCGUGCCAGCAGCCGCGGUAAUACGGAGGGAGCUAGCGUUAUUCGGAAUUACUGGGCGUAAAGCGCACGUAGGCGGCUUUGUAAGUUAGAGGUGAAAGCCUGGAGCUCAACUCCAGAAUUGCCUUU